GCUGGGUGUGGUAGUGCACACCUGUAAUCCCGUGACUUGGGAAGCUAAGGGAGGAGGAUCACAAGAUUGAGAUCAGCCUCUGCAAUUUAGGGAGAUCCUGUCUCGA
rnacentral:sRNA from 1 species